rnacentral:tRNA from 1 species
CCGGUGGCUCAGUUGGUUAGAGCGCCGCCCUGUCACGGCGGAGGCCGAGGGUUCGAGUCCCUUCCG